UCCAUUCAAAACCAAAACCUUGUCUAUUGUUUUGUGAAGAUGAACCUAACUUAAACAUGUUUCAACUUCAACGCUUGCAUUUGAAUGCGAAAAUUUUCUCCUUUACAAUUCCAAACCAUAACAUUCCACUCUUCCCCCGAAACCUCUCACACUCAUCUUCUUCAGGUACUAUGCUCUGGAAUUAGGAUUUCUGAUGUUUGCAGUUGGAGUUUAUUCCAGCGAAAAGGAUCUUCUUGAAUCCUUCAAGAGACCAAUGGCUAUAUCUGACUUGUCUAAAACUCAAGCCCCAAGACCCAUAAAAAAUGUUGUAAUUCUUGACAAUGAAAAGGUUGUUGUUGGUCUAGUUGGAGCUGCUUUGGCCCUCACGACGGUGAGAGUGGGACAUGCCUCAGCUGCUGAAUUGCCAUUGUUGGCCUCAUCUUUGCAACUGAGUGAACCAUCCAAUGCCUUGUCCUUGCCCGCCUGUGGGCCGUGCAUGUCUCUAGUGUUGUUGAAUGGGUACUGCAAUGGCUUUAGUGUGGCAAUAUGGAGAGAAAUCUGAGUAUGAAGCAUGGAAAGGUCACAAUGGCUUUAGUGUGGCAAUAUGGAGAGAAAUCUGAGUGUGAAGCAUGGAAAGGUCUUUCAUGGGGAAUGGCAUUGGUGGCUCUUCAAGCUGCGCUUACAGUGAUAGGUAAUGCUACAAUGUGUUAUGCUGCGUUUCGAAUAUACAAAUCGUCAAAGGAAUGGUCACAAAAUCUGUAAAAUUCCUGUAUCAGGAUAUAAUCAUGUGCUUGAAUGCAUAUCAUUCUUGUUUAUCAGACAUAUCCAUAAUGAAGCUUUUGCAGGAAAAAAGGAAAUGGGAUGCUGGAAAGUCCUUGAUUGAUGACAAAGCCGAUUUUCAUGGGGCUAAAAUCUCAAAAUUGGAGGUAAUUCUUUGCAAAUAAAGUAAUGGAUUGUGAUCAUGUAAUUAUUGAGGAGGGAUUGAUGCAGUCAAUUACCAUGAUGUGUAGGCAGUAUCCGAAAUGAAGAAUUAUUUUUUCUCUUUUUGGAUAGCUAUAACUUGUCAAGGAGCAACUUUAUAUAUGAAUGGUGUUGACAUAUAACUAUAAGAUACUGUUGUAUACUUAUGGCCUUAUGCA